UGCAGGAAACAGGUGGACUGUUCUGUUGGGAACCACCAGUCAGAAAGGUUGGGCUGAGGAUCAGAAAUGAAGAUCUGUCACAAGAAAACAGGAGGACAAUGAGAAGAACAUCAUGUUCUCUGGUUCUAAAGAAACUGACCCAGAAGCUCAGAAACUGCCUGCUGAUCGAUCAGAGUCUGCUUGAUAAACUGGUCCAGGGGCGGUUCCGAUCGACCAUCUGCUUCACCUGAGCUCAACUCACCUGCUCACACGUGCACUAGGCCGCUAGUCCGUACCGGAAGUUUGGGGGCUCGUGCGUGAGAUGCGAUUAUGAAGCGUCGCGUCACGUGACCAUGUGACGUUUUUUCAUUAGCUAACCUCAUCGACAACUUGUUGUCCUCCCGGAGGUUCUAGAAAGUUCUAAGCAGCAGUCCGAAGAGGUUCUAUCAGAACAGGGCCCAGAAAACCCGCAGCAGGCUUUCAGCAGGUCAGAUUCUGAUGGGCUCAGAGGCUCCAGAGUCCAGAAUACCUCCACGAUCACAUCCCAGCAGUCCUUGAAUCCCUGCACUGUUUCCCAGUUUGGAAGAGAAUUUAAAUUCUCAUUUCUGGUCUACAAGAACCUGACUGGUGUUGGUUCUGAAUCUGUCUCAGAGUUCUGUACAGGUUGAAAGACCUUCAGAGACCUGUUCACUCAGUGCUUCCAGCAGCAGAACUUCUCAGCUCUUUAACCUAAUCCCUGAGAACUGAUCCAGACCCAGUUGGCUCCUUCAUAGCAGUACUGGAACCUGAAUGGUUCUGGAUGCAGUUUGCUGGGUCAGCUGCAGAUUUAUUUGGUUAAACAUUUUCUAUGUUGAACUUCAAUUUCAUUCAUUUAACUGUAUUCAGGUUUUAAUUGUCAGAACUUGGGCUUAUUCUGCAUCUUACCCAGUAGAACCUGAGAAGUCUCUGGUGGUUCCAUCUACUGCAUGCAGGUUUGAUCUGAACUGGACCAGUUUUAUUCCUUUAAAUGAAUCCAACUGUAUUUCUGGAGCUGUUUUUAUGUAGCAUGGUAGAACCAAGAUCUGAAUGGAUAUCAGAAUCUUGUUUCUUUAGUAAAAAAGUUCAUUUAAAACCGAACUGAAUGAAAAUUAGAUUUUUAAUUUAAAGAUGCUGAUUUUCUUUCUUUUUCUUUUCUUUCUGUCAAAGUUCCACUGGUUCAGCACAAGUUUCUAUUUGCUUUCAUUCCAUAAAGAUGCUUGUUGAUUAAA